rnacentral:rRNA from 1 species
UGUAAGUCAGAUGUGAAAUCCCUGGGCUCAACCUGGGAACUGCAUUUGAAACUGCAUGGCUAGAGUAUGGUAGAGGGAAGUGGAAUUUCCGGUGUAGCGGUGAAAUGCGUAGAUAUCGGAAGGAACACCAGUGGCGAAAGCGACUUCCUGGACCAAUACUGACGUUCAUGUGCGAAAGCGUGGGGAGCAAACAGGAUUAGAUACCCUGGUAGUCCACGCCAUAAACGAUGACAACUAGAUGUUGGGAGGGUCUGCCUCUCGGUGUCGCAGCUAACGCGUUAAGUUGUCCGCCUGGGGAGUACGGCCGCAAGGUUG